rnacentral:lncRNA from 1 species
AGGGACCAUACUUUUCACUUGGAUUAGGAAGGGUCCUUGUCGGUAUCUCAGGAUGUGUAAGAGUACGAGCAGUCUCGACUAAAGGGGCAGAGCAAGUGGGAAUACUUUCGAUGGUUGACCGAGUCCCAAUUUUGCGAGCCAGAGGUAGAGAAGUGUUAGGUGAUUGACAUGUCUGAGACAAGGGAGGUGCUGACCUAUUGGCUUGCAAUGAAUGUUGGAAUGAAAGAAAAGGUACAAAUCUAUUAGUGGACAAGCUAUUAGAUAGUGAAGUCUGAAGCAGUGGAGGCAUUUCUGUGCUCGUCACUCGAGAUCUUAGGUGCUUGAGGUACAUGGGAGUUGUUAGGAUGUUUCUUAUGACAAAUUAGAUUCAUCUGCACAAAAACAAGUAAUAAUUAGACUAUA